rnacentral:rRNA from 1 species
AUUGAACGCUGGCGGCAGGCCUAACACAUGCAAGUCGAACGAGAGGCGGACGGGUGAGUAAUGUCUGGGAAACUGCCUGAUGGAGGGGGAUAACUACUGGAAACGGGAGCUAAUACCGCAUACCAUCAGAUGUGCCUAGAUGGGAUUAGCUUGUUGGUGGGGUAACGGCACACCAAGGCAACGAGCCCUAGCUGGUCUGAGAGGAUGACCAGCCACCGUGGAAGUAAGACACGGUCCAGACUCCUACGGGGGGCAGCGAUGGGAAUCUUGCACAAUGGACGCAAGCCUGAUGCGGCCAUGCCGCGUGUAUGAAGAAGGCCUUCGGGUUGUAAAGUACUCUCGGAGGGAAGACGUUACCCACAGAAAAAGCACCGGCUAACUCCGUGCCAGCCGCCGCGGUAAUAC